UUGUGGGUGGGCAGAAGUCUGU
rnacentral:miRNA from 1 species